UACGUAGGGUGCGAGCGUUAAUCGGAAUUACUGGGCGUAAAGGGUGCGCAGGCGGCCCCGCAAGUCAGACGUGAAAUCCCCGGGCUCAACUUGGGAAUGGCGUUUGAAACUACGGGGCUGGAGUGUGGCAGAGGGAGGUGGAAUUCCACGUGUAGCGGUGAAAUGCGUAGAGAUGUGGAGGAACACCAAUGGCGAAGGCAGCCUCCUGGGCCAACACUGACGCUCAUGCACGAAAGCGUGGGGAGCAAACAGG
rnacentral:rRNA from 1 species